rnacentral:rRNA from 1 species
GGCAACGGAGGUAACUCCAACCCCUGUGACAUACCAAUUGUUGCCUCGGCGGAUCAGCCCGCUCCCGGUAAAACGGGACGGCCCGCCAGAGGACCCCUAAACUCUGUUUCUAUAUGUAACUUCUGAGUAAAACCAUAAAUAAAUCAAAACUUUCAACAACGGAUCUCUUGGUUCUGGCAUCGAUGAAGAACGCAGCAAAAUGCGAUAAGUAAUGUGAAUUGCAGAAUUCAGUGAAUCAUCGAAUCUUUGAACGCACAUUGCGCCCGCCAGUAUUCUGGCGGGCAUGCCUGUUCGAGCGUCAUUUCAACCCUCAAGCCCUCGGGUUUGGUGUUGGGGAUCGGCGAGCCCUUGCGGCAAGCCGGCCCCGAAAUCUAGUGGCGGUCUCGCUGCAGCUUCCAUUGCGUAGUAGUAAAACCCUCGCAACUGGUACGCGGCGCGGCCAAGCCGUUAAACCCCCAACUUCUGAAUGUUGACCUCGGAUCAGGUAGGAAUACCCGCUGAACUUAAGCAUAUCAAAGUCCGGGAGGAAA